rnacentral:rRNA from 1 species
GUAUCCUACGGGGGGCAGCAGUGGGGGAUAUUGCACAAUGGGGGGAACCCUGAUGCAGCGACGCCGCGUGGGUGAAGAAGCCCCUCGGCGCGUAAAGCCCUGUCAGCAGGGAAGAAAAUGACGGUACCUGAAGAAGAAGCCCCGGCUAACUACGUGCCAGCAGCCGCGGUAAUACGUAGGGGGCAAGCGUUAUCCGGAUUUACUGGGUGUAAAGGGGGCGCAGCCGGCGAUGCAAGCCAGGAGUGAAAGCCCGGGGCCCAACCCCGGGACUGCUCUUGGAACUGC